rnacentral:rRNA from 1 species
GACGUAGGGCGCGAGCGUUGUCCGGAUUUAUUGGGCGUAAAGAGCUCGUAGGCGGUCUGUCGCGUCGAUCGUGAAAACUUGGGGCUUAACCCUGAGCUUGCGGUCGAUACGGGCAUGACUGGAGUUCGGCAGGGGAGACUGGAAAUUCCUGGUGUAGCGGUGAAAUGCGCAGAUAUCAGGAGGAACACCGGUGGCGAAGGCGGGUCUCUGGGCAGUAACUGACGCUGAGGAGCGAAAGCCGUGGGGAGCGAACAGGA